CUCCAUUAUUUUAUACUGCUUUUUUUCCUGUUCUAUAUGGUUUUAUAACCCACAGCAGAAUGUAAAUUUUGUGUUCCAAAAACCCUAAAUAAAUAUUACUCGGCAAUGAUUGCCCAUAUAUGUGUUGAUCUGUACUUAGCAGAGUAAAAUAAGACAGAAAUCUGAUUAUCCACUUCUGCCACUGCAAAGGAACUCAUCUUAACAUGCAUAAUGUAAUUCAUGCCAACAGUUAGAAAUUGGGAUGUUGGUUAAGAUAUGCAUCUAAAUCAUAUAUAAUGAUUUUUUUUUUUUUUUUUUUAUUAUGACAUAAUCAGAUGUGAUUUUACAUCCUUUUGUAAAAACAAUAAGUUAUAUUAAAGCGCUGACUGACUUUUUGGGGGGGAUGAGCAGGGGGAGAAUUUGCUAAAAUAUGGUAUUCUAACAACAUUAGAUUGCCUUGAGCCUUCUGUCCACAUAAUUACGCACUAAAAUACAUGACCUCUCGUUAUCUUUAACAGUGUCUUCAGUCUCUCUUAUUAAUUGCUGUACAUAGAAAAACUGCUGUCAUCUGAUCCAUAUUGACGGAAUACAACUAGAAUACACACCUGCUUUAAUAGAGAAAACCCUGUAACAUAUUGGUUUUGCACUGAAACAUACACUUUGAGGUCAGUGUCUCUGCUGCAGUUCCUGUUUAGAUAACAAUAGAUUUAAUUGCAACCUGCAAUAUUAGUUUUCAAUCUAACUAGGAGGAUUCCCUGUAGCAAUGUUGUUGUGUAGAUUGUAUUAAUAGGUCAGUGAGGAGUCGGCAUUUGAGCGCAUUAAACUGGCAAGGAGAUGCUUUUACCCAAUAAAAUCUAAUUCUAUUAGAAAUUAUUAGCUUCCCCUUGAGGUCUACUUCACGAAUACAUUCCAAGGUGCGCAAAUAAGCAGGCUCAUAAAUAUACACAUCGAUGCCAAUUAAAAGCUCAAUUAUAACAAGAUCCACUCACACAUUUUCAAAGAAAUGUUUUAUAUAUACAACAGAAUUUCACCUCUGGAUGAAAACAACGCAUCAUCUGUUUUAGUGUAUUUACAUUUGUGUCACAUUGUGUAUCCUCUGUUGUCCCUUUCUUUGUACAGUUUAAUAGAAUAAGCUGG